rnacentral:rRNA from 1 species
GACGAACGCUGGCGGCGUGCUUAACACAUGCAAGUCAAGCGGUAAGGCCCUUUCGGGGGUACACGAGCGGCGAACGGGUGAGUAACACGUGGGUGACCUGCCCUCAGCUCUGGGAUAAGCCUGGGAAACUGGGUCUAAUACUGGAUAUGACUCCACGGUGCAUGUCGUGGGGUGGAAAGCCUUGUGCGGCUGAGGAUGGGCCCGCGGCCUAUCAGCUUGUUGGUGGGGGAUGGCCUACCAAGGCGACGACGGGUAGCCGGCCUGAGAGGGCGACCGGCCACACUGGGACUGAGACACGGCCCAGACUCCUACGGGAGGCAGCAGUGGGGAAUCUUGCGCAAUGGGCGAAAGCCUGACGCAGCGACGCCGCGUGAGGGAUGACGG